AGGGACCCAGGCGUUCGGGAGGGACCCAGGAGUGCCCCAAGGGACCCCGGUGUCCGGGAGGGACCCAGGAGUGCCCCAAGGGACCCAGGCGUUCGGGAGGGACCCAGGAGUGCCCCAAGGGACCCAGGUGUUUGGGAGGGACCCAGGAGUGCCCCAAGGGACCCAGGUGUCAGGGAGGGACCCAGGAGUUCGGGAGGGACCCAGGAGUGCCCCAAGGGACCCAGGUGUCAGGGAGGGACCCAGGAGUUCGGGAGGGACCCAGGAGUGCCCAAAGGGACCCAGGAGUGUCCAAAGGGACCCAGGCGUCUGGGAGGGACCCAGG